CACAACUUCCAAGUGAAUAGAUCCUGUUGGUCUAAACUGAUUGAUUGAUUCUCAGUUUAAUGGUUGUUCUCUCCAAAACAUGUCAGCAUCAAUUCAUUCUAUAAGUCAUCACAUGCAAAAUAGUCUAUUCAAUCGUCAAAAUAACUCAAGAACCUAAUACCAUGAAUCCAUGAAUACCAUAUAUGAAUCUCUUGGAACAUUUGAUAAAUUGAUUAAUUGACAGUCAGGUUAAUCUACAGCUUGACUAACGAAGGAGGAGUUUCACACAUCUCAGAUGACCAAUCAAACAAUAUGUUUAGUUACCUGACAGGUGCUGUCCACGAUUGUGAAUGCUGCCAAAGAUGUAUAUAUAGAGCUUGACCAGGACUAGUACAAUUUCUGAACAUGGAGGCACCUGGCCAAGUAAAUGAACAAGGGCAACUGCCUGCUCAAGGAAGAGGAAGAAGAAGAGGAGGAGGAGUAAGGGUGCGUGGUGGUAGAAUAGGGGGAAGAGGUCGAGGAGCAAGAAGACACCAUGCCGUUCCAGAUGAAAUUCGGGCCACACUUAUAGACCAUGUUAUCAACCAUCGGCUCACAAUGGCAGAGGCAGGUUGCAGAGUGCAGCCUAAUGUGCCCCGCUCACAGUCUCCUCCAUCAUCCAAACCUUUCGCAGGAAAAACAGGAUUGGACAAUAACCUUGCAUGGGUGGCAGAGGAAAGCUUCUCAAUGACCAACAAGAACAAAACAUCUAUAACAUGGAGAUGGCAAAUAAUGCCAUCACUGAGACAGAUACGCACUGCAAUCACACAAGACAAUGCGAUAUUCUAAAAUGUCAACCCUAUAAGCAUCUCCACAAUAAACUGGAUAUUGAACAAGCAUCAGAUGACCAUGAAGCAACUUUACAGGUUACCAUUUGAGAGGAACUGUGGUAGAGUGAAAGAGCUGCGGUACCAGUAUGUACAUAAUAAUGGCAUUGCAAGGAAAUGAGACCCCUCACAUCCUCGUGUUUGUGGAUGAAGCUGGCUUCAACUUGGCCAAGGGCCGAAGACAUGGCUGUAAUAUUACUGGCCACCGGGCCACGGUGGAUGUCCCAGGCCACCGUGGGGGCAAUAUAACUAUGCGUGCUGCCAUUUCUGAGAAUGGUGUGGCCAAUCACAUCCCCAGUCUUGGCCCAUACAAUACACAGAAGCUCCUCAUCUUCUUGGACUGCCUUCAUUCUAAUUUGA